UCCCUGGUGGCUCAGAGGGUAGAGCGUCUGCCUGCAACACAGGAAACUCAGGUUUGAUCCCUGGGUUGGGAA
rfam:TPA: Bos taurus chromosome 21, whole genome shotgun sequence.